GGUGAACGCUGGCGGCGUGCCUAAUACAUGCAAGUCGAGCGAACAGAUAAGGAGCUUGCUCCUUUGACGUUAGCGGCGGACGGGUGAGUAACACGUGGGUAACCUACCUAUAAGACUGGAAUAACUCCGGGAAACCGGGGCUAAUGCCGGAUAACAUUUAGAACCGCAUGGUUCUAAAGUGAAAGAUGGUUUUGCUAUCACUUAUAGAUGGACCCGCGCCGUAUUAGCUAGUUGGUAAGGUAACGGCUUACCAAGGCAACGAUACGUAGCCGACCUGAGAGGGUGAUAGGCCACACUGGAGCUGAGACACGGUCCAGACUCCUACGGGAGGCAGCAGUAGGGAAUCUUCCGCAAUGGGCGAAAGCCUGACGGAGCAACGCCGCGUGAGUGAUGAAGGUCUUCGGAUCGUAAAGCUCUGUUAUUAGGGAAGAACAAAUGUGUAAGUAACUGUGCACGUCUUGACGGUACCUAAUCAGAAAGCCACGGCUAACUACGUG
rnacentral:rRNA from 1 species